rnacentral:rRNA from 1 species
UACGUAGGGUGCGAGCGUUAAUCGGAAUUACUGGGCGUAAAGCGUGCGCAGGCGGUGAUGUAAGACAGAUGUGAAAUCCCCGGGCUCAACCUGGGAACUGCAUUUGUGACUGUAGAGCUGGAGUACGGUAGAGGGGGAUGGAAUUCCGCGUGUAGCAGUGAAAUGCGUAGAUAUGCGGAGGAACACCAAUGGCGAAGGCAGCUCGCUGGGACGGUACUGACGCUGAGACGCGAAAGCGUGGGGAGCAAACAGG